UUCUGAUUUAACUGGUUUGGGGUAGAAUCCAAACAAGAUUUUUUUUUAAGUAACAAAAGAAGAUUUAAAUGGGGCUGAUUUUGGCAGAUGCAGUCCUUAUUAGGAAGGUGAAACUGUACCUGCUGCUACAGAUGUUAUAAACCAGUUCCGGCUCAUCAUCAUAGCUUAAUGGGAGUGAAAAAGCCUGAUGAAGAGUGGAUAGACUUGGAAAAAUUGGGCACAAGAAAUUAGAUUUUGGAGUUAAAUUAUUUAGCAACCAAAUGGAAAAUAAGCAAAAAUAUAAGAUUGCAUUACCUCUAGAUGAUGUUGUUAGCAACCGAGACUAAUGGCUGGGAUGUACAAAUUACUGCCCCAAGGAAAACACAGAGCUCAGGGGGGAAAUUCAAGUAACACUUAACCUCACUGGACCAAGUAAAUCCAUAACUUGAAAUCACUGGUAGAAAUUCAAAAUAAGUAAGAACAUUUUCCUUCUCUUUUUCUCAUGUGUGGAAUAAUA